rnacentral:ncRNA from 1 species
UAACCUCUGACGAGAUUCGUGUAUGUUG